rnacentral:rRNA from 1 species
GGGGAAUAUUGCACAAUGGGCGGAAGCCUGAUGCAGCAACGCCGCGUGCGGGAUGACAGCCUUCGGGUUGUAAACCGCUUUCGCCUGUGACGAAGCGUGAGUGACGGUAAUGGGUAAAGAAGCACCGGCUAACUACGUGCCAGCAGCCGCGGUGAUACGUAGGGUGCGAGCGUUGUCCGGAUUUAUUGGGCGUAAAGGGCUCGUAGGUGGUUGAUCGCGUCGGAAGUGUAAUCUUGGGGCUUAACCCUGAGCGUGCUUUCGAUACGGGUUGACUUGAGGAAGGUAGGGGAGAAUGGAAUUCCUGGUGGAGCGGUGGAAUGCGCAGAUAUCAGGAGGAACACCAGUGGCGAAGGCGGUUCUCUGGGCCUUUCCUGACGCUGAGGAGCGAAAGCGUGGGGAGCGAACAGGCUUAGAUACCCUGGUAGUCCACGCUGUAAACGGUGGGUACUAGGUGUGGGGUCCAUUCCACGGGUUCCGUGCCGUAGCUAACGCUUUAAGUACCCCGCCUGGGGAGUACGGCCGCAAGGCUA